UACGUAGGGUCCGAGCGUUGUCCGGAAUUACUGGGCGUAAAGAGCUCGUAGGUGGUUUGUCGCGUUGUUCGUGAAAACUCACAGCUCAACUGUGAGCUUGCGGGCGAUACGGGCAGACUAGAGUACUGCAGGGAGACUGGAAUUCCUGGUGUAGCGGUGAAAUGCGCAGAUAUCAGGAAGAACACCAAUGGCGAAGGCAGCUCUCUGGGACGGUACUGACGCUGAGACGCGAAAGCGUGGGGAGCGAACAGG
rnacentral:rRNA from 1 species